UCAAACGAGUACAAAUACCUUAAUGGGAUUUGUCUCAAUUCACUCGAAUCCACAAAUUUGAUUAGUUCGCGAAGAACACAGUGGAUCGACCACUUGAGGGUGAAAUCUGACCCUUCAUUUUUACUUACAUCUGAUCCUAGCCUUACAAUGCUAUGGUAUGAGGAGGAAAUCCCUAAAUGGAGUAAUCCCACAUCGACUGAACCGAGGGUUUGCAGGUUUUGGGAAUUCCUAUUUAAGGGACCCUAUUCUACGUUAUCAAGGGAGGCUUUUGAGCAUAUUGACUAGAUAUACCCAAAAAAAAUUGAAUUACCUAGGGUUUCUGAUCUUUGAAACCUUUAACUGUUCGAUUAAGUUCAAAAUUUUAAAAGGUUGAUUAUUUUUCUUGUUGGUUUGUGGUUGAGCAUCGGGUUUAAGGAAGAAAGAUCUCCUCCCAAGUUUAAGUCUCGAUCUGGACUACACAAGAAAGAGACGAUAAAACUUGUCACUGUAGGUUCUGUCUUUCGAAUUCGGCGUCACCACCACUUUGCCAGUCCAUUCGGUUUUUGUUGGAGGAAUCUCUCCAACCCUCUCAGGCCAUCCAUGGAAUGAAUUUCUAUUUUUGCUGGAGGAGGUUCUUCCAUUUUAUUCUUCCUUGCCUUGCGGAGGCUUCCGAGGUUGUUACUGCCUUGCUCAAGCUCGUUUUCGUCAGCCAUAAAUUCGAGGAGGACUGAGCGGCUGUACUCCUUUUUCUGCAAAUAAUAGUGAGUUAAAGCGAUCGGAGGGUUUAAAUGGAGAGGGAGUGCAACAAGCUAGCUGGCUAAGAGAAGGGGAGGGAUAUUCCAAAUCAUCAAAAGAAUACAUAGCACGUGAUUCAUUGAUUGAUAUGAUGAACAAAUUCAGAGGCCUUAUGCAGUGCUCAUUUCCAAAGCACUAUCCCAUACUGCAAUAUAGUGUUUUGGUGAGGAGGUAAAGGGACCAUGUUUGCCCAAAUAUAGUAUUAUGAGUUUUGAUAUUAACUAAGAUUUUAUUAAUGUAUGUAUGAUUGUUUGCACUUAAUUAAUUCAAUG